UACGUAGGCAGCAAGCGUUGUCCGGAUUUACUGGGCGUAAAGGAUGCGUAGGCGGACAUUUAAGUCAGAUGUGAAAUACCCGAGCUUAACUUGGGUGCUGCAUUUGAAACUGGGUGUCUAGAGUGCAGGAGAGGUAAGUGGAAUUCCUAGUGUAGCGGUGAAAUGCGUAGAGAUUAGGAAGAACACCAGUGGCGAAGGCGACUUACUGGACUGUAACUGACGCUGAGGCAUGAAAGCGUGGGGAGCAAACAGG
rnacentral:rRNA from 1 species